rnacentral:rRNA from 1 species
CCUACGGGUGGCAGCAGUGAGGAAUAUUGGUCAAUGGGCGCUAGCCUGAACCAGCCAAGUAGCGUGAAGGAUGACUGCCCUAUGGGUUGUAAACUUCUUCAAUAGGGGAAUACAGUCCAGUAUGUAUACUGCUUUGCAUGUACCUUACGAAUAAGGAUCGGAUCACGUCGUGCCAGCACCCGCGGUAAUACGGAGGAUGCGAGCGUUACCCGGAUUUAUUGGGUUGAAAGCGAACGUCGGCGGGUUGUUAAGUCAGUUGUGAAGGUAUGCGGCUCAACCUGAAAAUUGCAUUUGAUACUGGCAACCUGGAGUGCAGUAGAGGGUGGCGGAAUUCGUGGUGUAGCGGUGAAAUGCUUAGAUAUCUCGAAGAACUCCGAUGGCGAAGGCGGCCUUCUGGAAUGUAACUGACGCUGAUGCGCGAAAGUGUGGGUAGCAAACAGGAUUAGAUACCCGUGUAGUC